UAAUAAUUUAUAAUAAAAGUAUCCAGAUGUUGAUUUUAACAAAGUCCAUUCGAAAUAGGACAAUAUUAAAGAAAAAAAGGAGAAAUCAUGUGCGGUAACAAAUGUGCGUUGGAUGCGAUUUCAAAUUCGUAAUGAAAAAUUUCUCCUAGGGACAUUUUGUUGAGAUGCAUCCUAGUCGGCUUUGUGCGUCCUCCAUCCCCCACCAUCGUCGCUUUGAGACAUGCAACGGCUCCUAAUUAGGCCAAGCAACACGGCUUCGAGUUUACGAGCCUGUUCUCCCCACUCUCCACCCCCGCUGCGCGCGCAUAACCUUAUCCCAAUGCGGCGGGAUAUUACGUAUACUUUCUUAGAGAGUCGUUUCGUGACCACAUUCGGCGCGAAUGAAAGGCUAUAGGAUAGAGUCAAAGGGACUAGAGAUAUUUUUCAAUUAGAGAUCUGUUAGACCACAAAAGAGAUAGAAGAAAAAUGCCAGAGGGGAGAAAAGACGCCCGUAAAGAAGAGGUGGUGGCAACGUACAGGAAAACGGAAUGAGAUCAGGAAAAUUCCUCUCACUCGUGUUUCCUCUCUCUGUGGAUUUAUCUUUACUUUAAAGGAAAUAUACUUUUAUGCAAUUUUCUUUGGUUAUUUUGGAUUCUCAAUGUUCUAAUAUCGAGGUAUAUGAUAUAAUUUUUAUUUAAUAAUCAUCAUAAAAAUUGAGACUAAAAUUAUAAGUUAACUCGAGAUGAUAUCUAUUUAUUAUAUGUAUGAUUUUUAUUCUCAUAAUAUAUAAUAUGCGAUUUUAUUCUGACUAUUGUAAAUAUCUAAAUAUUGUAUUUCUUACAUUAAGAAAUUCUCUCUCUCUUUCUAUUAAUUAUAAUCAUACGAAUGUUCAGAAUACUUGUUAUUUUAUUUUAUUGAGAAUAAAUAUGUACUUUAAUAUAUA